rnacentral:rRNA from 1 species
UGAUGACGAGACGCUAAGGCGUUGAAGCAGUGUAUGUCAGACUUCCAAGAAAAGCUCGCAAUGUCACAAAUAAAAAGUGCCUGUACCAUAACCGACACAGGUGGGUAGGUAGAGUAUACUAAGGGGCGCGAGAUAACUCUCUCUAAGGAACUCGGCAAAAUGACUCCGUAACUUCGGGAGAAGGAGUGCCUUAUUUAUAAGGUUGCAAUAACAAGAUCCAAGCAACUGUUUAUCAAAAACACAGGUCUCCGCUAAGUCGUAAGACGAUGUAUGGGGGCUGACGCCUGCCCAGUGCCAGAAGGUUAAAGAAGUUGGUUAGUGUAUGCGAAGCUGAUGACUGAAGCCCUGGUGAACGGCGGCCGUAACUAUAACGGUCCUAAGGUAGCGAAAUUCCUUGUCGGGUAAGUUCCGACCCGCACGAAAGGCGUAAUGAUUUGGAUACUGUCUCGGAGAGAGGCUCGGUGAAAUAGACUUGUCUGUGAAGAUGCGGACUACCUGCACCAGGACAGAAAGACCCUAUGAAGCUUUACUGUAACUUGAAAUUGGAAUUGGACUUUGCUUGCGCAGUAUAGGUGGGAAGCGUUGAAAAUAUUCUUGCGGGAGUAUUGGAGCUAUCAGUGAGAUACCACUCUUGUAAUGUUAGAUUUCUAACUUUGAACCAUAAUCUGGUCAAAGAACAGUUUCAGGUGGGCAGUUUGACUGGGGCGGUCGCCUCCCAAAUGGUAACGGAGGCGUACAAAGGUUUCCUCUGAACGGAUAGAAAUCGUAUCUAGAGUGUAAAGGCAUAAGGAAGCUUGACUGUGAGACCUACAAGUCGAGCAGGGACGAAAGUCGGUCUUAGUGAUCUGACGGUACUGAGUGGAAAGGCCGUCACUCAACGGAUAAAAGUUACUCUAGGAUAACAGGCUGAUCUCCCCCAAGAGUUCACAUCGACGGGGAGGUUUGGCACCUCGAUGUCGGCUCAUCGCAUCCUGGGGCGGUAGUACGUCCCAAGGGUUGGGCUGUUCGCCCAUGAAAGCGGUACGCGAGCUGGGUUCAGAACGUCGUGAGACAGUUCGGUCCAUAUCCGGUGUAGGCGCUAGAAUAUUGAGAGGAGCCUUCUUUAGUACGAGAGGACCGAGAAGGACACACCGCUGGUGUACCAGUUAUCGUGCCAACGGUAAACGCUGGGUAGCUAUGUGUGGAGUGGAUAACCGCUGAAAGCAUCUAAGUGGGAAGCCCACCUCGAGUUGAGUAUUCU